CCCAUCCCCAGCCACCUCAGAGGUGGCUACUGAAUGGCCUUCUUUUAUUCCACAGACAGAGCUAGCCCCUUGCUGCAUCCCACCCUCUUCUUUACAGAGUUCAGCGAGGGCAGCGAAGACAACCGGGGGGAGUGAUGUCUCCCCCGCAGAAUGAUUUUGAGGGCUGCCACACCUCCAGCCAUGAAAACAGAAGUGUGGACGGUGUGCACGAGACCUCACAAUCAACUUGAAGAUGAGAGCUGUGGCUCACGCUUUGCACCACCUCUAGCACCCAGCAGAGAGUCCAAUCGCAGGUCUUCACGGUGUGGUUAUUUCUUGAUGAAUAGUACUAUUCUUUGGCAGGGAAAAGAGAUAAAUCCUUUUUUUCUCUAAAGUCUACUGACUUAGUUUAAUUUUCUCGUUUCCACAGGGAAGUUAGGGAAAGUGUCAGAGAUGGUAGCUGACCACUGAGGAGUUGUCUUCCCUCCUAGGUAGAGUUGUUUUAGGAAAGUAGUUGCCUGAUGGGGAACAAUCUUUCCCAGCACUUUGCGUCUGGGUGACUAGUUCUGGCCAAUGUAACGUGAGAGGAAAUGGUGUGUUGUCAUUUCCAGGCUGAAGGAGUUAAGCGUCUGAUGUGCUUCCCAUCUUUCUACCUCUGGUAGCCGCCGUAGGGCCACAUGGCGAAGACGGCAGAGCUAAAGAAUUUAGUUCCCUGUGUUCCCCACUUGGAAGGGAACCACCAGGUAACAUCCAUAUUAGACCUCAGGUCUACAGGUGUUGAGGAGGAACAUCUGGCCAGGAAGCCAGGCUGCUGGGCUCCCCGGAGGGAGGGCUCUCAGCCAGGCCAUCAGGAAAGAGGAAGCUCCUCAGUAGCGGUCUGGCCAACGCUCAGACUCUUCAAGUUUGCAGAGUGGUGAACUGCUUCAUACAUCCGCCCUGGCGAGAGCCUUCCCGAAGGGGGAUCACAUCCUUCAUGAGACUCAGUGCCUGACCCACUGGCAGGGACAACGCAUCCCCCUCCGAAAGAGGGGCACCUGGGGGGUCGGUGGUGGAGCGUCUGCCUUGGGCUCAGGCCGUGACCCUGGGGUCCCAGGAUCCAGUCCUACAUCAGGUUCCCCGCAGGGAGCCUGCUUCUCCCUCUGACUGUGUCUCUGCCUCUCUCUGUGUGUCUCUCACGAAUAAAUAAGUAAAAUCUUAAAAAAAAAAAAAAGAC
rnacentral:lncRNA from 12 species